rnacentral:rRNA from 1 species
AGUGAACGCUGGCGGUAGGCCUAACACAUGCAAGUCGAACGGCAGCACAGUAAGAGCUUGCUCUUACGGGUGGCGAGUGGCGGACGGGUGAGGAAUACAUCGGAAUCUACUUUUUCGUGGGGGAUAACGUAGGGAAACUUACGCUAAUACCGCAUACGACCUACGGGUGAAAGCAGGGGAUCUUCGGACCUUGCGCGAUUGAAUGAGCCGAUGUCGGAUUAGCUAGUUGGCGGGGUAAAGGCCCACCAAGGCGACGAUCCGUAGCUGGUCUGAGAGGAUGAUCAGCCACACUGGAACGGAGGCACGGUCCAGACGCCUACGGGAGGCAGCAGUGGGGAAUAUUGGACAAUGGGCGCAAGCCUGAUCCAGCCAUACCGCGUGGGUGAAGAAGGCCUUCGGGUUGUAAAGCCCUUUUGUUGGGAAAGAAAAGCAGCAGGUUGAUACCCCGCUGUUCUGACGGUACCCAAAGAACAAGCACCGGCUAACUUCGUG